rnacentral:rRNA from 1 species
AUACGGAGGAUCCGAGCGUUAUCCGGAUUUAUUGGGUUUAAAGGGAGCGUAGGCGGACGCUUAAGUCAGUUGUGAAAGUUUGCGGCUCAACCGUAAAAUUGCAGUUGAUACUGGGUGUCUUGAGUACAGUAGAGGCAGGCGGAAUUCGUGGUGUAGCGGUGAAAUGCUUAGAUAUCACGAAGAACUCCGAUUGCGAAGGCAGCCUGCUGGACUGUAACUGACGCUGAUGCUCGAAAGUGCGGGUAUCAAACAGGAUUAGAUACCCUGGUAGUCCGCACAGUAAACGAUGAAUACUCGCUGUUUGCGAUACACUGUAAGCGGCCAAGCGAAAGCGUUAAGUAUUCCACCUGGGGAGUACGCCGGCAACGGUGAAACUCAAAUGAAUUGGCGGGG